ACGGCUCAGUAACACGUGGACAACCUACCCUACAGAAGGGGAUAACCCCGGGAAACUGGGGAUAAUACCCUAUAGACUAUGGAUGCUGGAAUGCUCUGUAGCCGAAAGGUCCGCCGCUGUAGGAUGGGUCUGCGGCCGAUUAGGUUGUUGUUGGGGUAACGGCCCAACAAGCCUGUAAUCGGUACGGGUUGUGGGAGCAAGAGCCCGGAGAUGGAUUCUGAGACACGAAUCCAGGCCCUACGGGGCGCAGCAGGCGCGAAAACUUUGCAAUGCGGGAAACCGUGACAAGGGAACUCUGAGUGCCCGUAAAAUCGGGCUGUCCAUCGGUUUAAAAAACCGGUGAAGAAAGGGCCGGGCAAGACCGGUGCCAGCCGCCGCGGUAAUACCGGCGGCUCGAGUGGUGGCCACUAUUACUGGGCUUAAAGCGUUCGUAGCUGGUUUGUUAAGUCUCUGGGGAAAUCUUCCGGCUUAACCGGAAGGCGUCUCAGGGAUACUGGCAGACUAGGGACCGGGAGAGGUGAGAGGUACUCCAGGGGUAGGAGUGAAAUCCUGUAAUCCUUGGGGGACCACCUGUGGCGAAGGCGUCUCACCAGAACGGCUCCGACAGUGAGGGACGAAAGCUGGGGGAGCAAACCGGAUUAGAUACCCGGGUAGUCCCAGCUGUAAACGAUGCGCGUUAGGUGUAUCAGCGACCACGAGUCGCUGAGGUGCCGAAGAGAAAUCGUGAAACGUGCCGCCUGGGAAGUACGGUCGCAAGGCUGAAACUUAAAGGAAUUGGCGGGGGAG
rnacentral:rRNA from 1 species